AGUGAACGCUGGCGGUAGGCCUAACACAUGCAAGUCGAACGGCAGCACAGUAAGAGCUUGCUCUUACGGGUGGCGAGUGGCGGACGGGUGAGGAAUACAUCGGAAUCUACUUUUUCGUGGGGGAUAACGUAGGGAAACUUACGCUAAUACCGCAUACGACCUACGGGUGAAAGCAGGGGAUCUUCGGACCUUGCGCGAUUGAAUGAGCCGAUGUCGGAUUAGCUAGUUGGCGGGGUAAAGGCCCACCAAGGCGACGAUCCGUAGCUGGUCUGAGAGGAUGAUCAGCCACACUGGAACUGAGACACGGUCCAGACUCCUACGGGAGGCAGCAGUGGGGAAUAUUGGACAAUGGGCGCAAGCCUGAUCCAGCCAUACCGCGUGGGUGAAGAAGGCCUGCGGGUUGUAAAGCCCUUUUGUUGGGAAAGAAAAGCAGCAGGUUAAUACCCCGCUGUUCGGACGGUACCCAAAGAAUAAGCACCGGCGAACUUCGG
rnacentral:rRNA from 1 species